CAGCUACUUUGGAGGCUGAGGCAGGAGUAUCGUUUGAACCCGGGAGGCGGAGGUUGCAGUGAGCCCAGAUUGCACCAUUGCACUCCAGCCUGGCGACAGGGCAAGAUUCUGUCUCAAAAAAAAAACAAACGAAAGAAAUGUUAAAACUUCAUUUUACAAUAGCAUCAAACAUAUAAAAAAUACUUAGGAACAAAAGAGCCACCAUGCCCAGCCUAUUUAUUUUUCUUGAACACAGUCUCUGUCACUCAGGCUAGAGUGCAGUGGCAUGAUCUCAGUUCACUGCAACCUCUACCUCCCAGGCUCAGGUGAUACUCUCACCUCAGUGUCUCCACUAACUGGAACUUCAGGUGCCCACCACCAUGCCCAGCUAAUUUUUUGUAUUUUUGGUAGAGAAGAGGUUUCACCAUGUUGCCCAUGCUGGUCCCCAACUCCUGAGCUCAGGUGAUCCACCUGCCUCGGCCUCGCAAAGUGCUGGGAUUACUGGCAUGAGCCACUGUGCCUGGCCGACUUUGAGUUAUUUAUUAUUUUAAUUUAAUUUUUGAGGCAGAGUGUCGUCACUUUGUUGCCCAGGCUGGGUGGAUUACAGGUGGCACGGUAUCAGCUCACUGCACCCUCCACCUCCUAGGCUCAAACGAUCCUCCCACCUCAGCCUCCCAAGUAGCUGGGAUUACAGGUGCAUGUCACCAUGUCCAGCUAAUUUUUUUUGUUGUUGUUGUUGAGACAGAGUUUCACUCUUGUUGCCCAGGCUGGAGUGCAAUGGCAUGAUCUCGGCUCACUGCAACCUCUGCCUCCCUCCUGGGUCCAAGCGAUUCUCCUGCUUCAGCCUCUAGAGUAGCUGCGAUUACAGGUGCGCACCACAUGCCCAGCUAAUUUUUUGUAUUUUUAGUAGAGACAGGGUUUCACCAUGUUGGCCAGGCUGGUCUCGAACUCCUGACCUCAGGUGAUCCACCCAUCUCGCCCUCCCAAAGUAAAUGGGAUUACAGGCGUGAGCUACCGCUCCUGGCCUGUCCAGGUGAUUUUUAUAUUUUUAGUAGAGAUGAAGUUUCACCAUGUUGGCCAGGCUGGUCUCUAACUCCUGGCCUUACCUGAUCUGCCUGCCUCAGCCUCCCAAAGUGUUGGGAUUAUGGGCAUGAACCGCUGCCUGACUUUAAAUCUUACUUCAAAGCACAGUGACAUAAGGAUAGAUACGUAGAAUAGAAUAGAGCUGACAGUCCAGAAGUAAACCAUGUAGUUAUAUGGUCAACUAACUUUUGACAAGGGUAUCAAGACCAUUCAUUGGGGGAAAGAACAGUCUCUUCAACAAAUACUGUUGAGACAACGCGAUAAGCCACAUGGAGUGAAGUUGGACCCUUACCUUACACGUAUAUAAAAAUUAACUUGGCCAGAGGCAGUGGCUCACGCCUAUAAUCCCAGCACUUUGGAAGGCCGAGGCAGGAGGAUCACUUGACAUCAGGAGUUCGAGACCAACUUGGCCAACAUGAUGAAACCCUGUCUCUACUAAAAAUACAAAAAGUAGCCAGGCGUGGUGGCACAAUUUUGUAAUCCCAGCUACUCGGGAGGCUAAGGCGUGAGAAUCACUUGAACUGAGGAGGCAGAGGCUGCAGUGAGCUGAGACUGCGCCACUGCACUCCAGCCUGGACAAGAGAAUGAGAUUCCAUCUCAAAAAAAAAAA
rnacentral:lncRNA from 10 species